AUCGGAUCGGAACGGAACGAUUUGUACGCACAAUGAAUAGAACGUAGGAAGAGUUGGAAAAUGCCGGUUUUCCGAGACCAUCGUACAACGAUAAACCGAUUAUUUGAAUACACACGCACGCAGGAUAUACGGUUCGAAAAGGUAACGAUUAAAAAAUGAGAGAAAACGCAAUCAGCCAUGACGUCGGGGCCGCAUAAACUAGGAUCAAAAGUUCACGUUCAGAUUUCAGUAUACGUAACGUAGUAUACAUAUACGGAUACACACAGAUACCUAAUUACCAUUUAUUCACCGAUUAUUCGUAUUUAUAAUUUAAAACUGUGAAAUUGUGCAGUAACAGUGUGCAGUGUCUCGAGGUAAGGCCGGUUUUGAUUUAUUCGUUUGCUUUUGGAUCCUUCAAUUAUUCUCCUCUCAUCAACGCAUUCGAUAUUCCGAUGUACUUGAAAUUUUUCAAAUUUCAUACGUAUCAUGUAAUAGCUCGAUAUCUAUGUACCCUGUAUCCUGGUUGGCUUCUUAAAUUAGAAUUCGAUAUCAGAAAAUCCAAUUAAUCGAAAGUAUCGUGAUGUGUGAAAAAAAAAGACUCGGAUUCGCGUAGAAGCGUAGGAUAUCUGCGGUAUUGACGAUGAGACGCCGGAGCAAAAAGAAAAUAUAUAUGUAUAAAUAACAAUACAAAACUCGAAUAACGAAGAUUCUGUUGUUGGUAUAUUUCAACCGUAUACUUGUGCGUUGUUUUUUCCAAAAGCGGUUUUCUGUCUCUGGCUACGAUGUGUAUGAGCUGUCGCCGCGUACCGUUCGUUUCCCACCUUAUCUCUCAUGACUUCUUAACCUGGCUCAGUCUCUUAUAACUAAUACGUUAUAUACUCGUAUGUGUAGUACACAUAUGCCAUAUAUAUGCAUACGAGAUAUCCAUGUGUAUACCUAUGCACAUCUAUAUGUAUACCAAUAUAGGCAUUGUACGAGUAUGUGUACGUGUAUGGCUUUAGACUUGUCGGCGAUAAUGUAUAAAUAUGGAAAUUCUAAAAAGUACAAAGGAAUGCGCUAAGGCGACUCUGAAGUUGUACCAUAUCACUAACACAUGCCUAUGUAUGUGUGUAUCAAGUCAAACUAAUCGACGUUAUUUUCAUAAUAUCUGCGUAUGUUUUUCCAAGUACGUAGAAUUAAGAUGAAAGUCUCAUUUAGAUUUCCAUAAGGAGUGUUCAAGAAGGAUCCCCGACUAUCAAUUGAUCGAUUUUUUUUCCUAUCAUCUCAUCGUAUAAUGUCUUUGCUUUUAUAAAUUUUUCACAGCUGGAAUUCGCCGAUGACACGUUGCUGCUGCUGCAGCACAGUUGCAAGGGUAUUAUAAUGUAAUUAUAAAAUGCAUCUUUGGCUUUGAUAAUCCGCAUGUACAACGAUACGGUGUAAUUCUAUGGGAACAGCUAUAUCUGAACGUUCGUUUUACAUACGCACCUAAAUAUCCAUUAUACAUGGUCAUACUUUUGUCAGAUACUUAUACAUAGGCGUGUGGUAUAAAAAUGUGUUUGUAUCUCAAAAGCAGAAGAAAAAAAGAAAAAGAAGCAGAAGAUGGAGAUGGAGAAGCGGAGAAGCGGAGAAGCGGAGUAGAUGGCAAGACCAACAUAUGGAGCGUGCGAAGAGGGAAUAGAAUGCAAGAAUUAACAUUCAUUUCUGUUCCAGUCUAUGCAUUAAUCCCCAUUUAUGUACACGCUCGGUAUAGCCUCUACGUAGCAUUUCGCGAACUAUAAUUCUACUUUCAUUCCCUUCGAUAUACAUCAUCCCAUUUGGAAUAGCAUAUGCCGCUUCAAUAAAAAUAAUCACCAGCUGAUCAGUUUUCAAAUUUUCAAAUCCCGUCUUGUAGUCGAAUAGUUUUUGUAUCGCGUCGUCACAUCGAAAGAAAACCGUCCGCUUACAAAAAUUCGAUUAUAACAAUAUACCGCAAGUACUGGUAAAACCGUUGGGACUUUCGGUAUAAGUAGAAUAAUCGAAAACGUGACUAUACAUAAUUUGUUUGUAUUUGGGCGUGUUUCAAUGCUUCGUAUGGGACCAGUUUUUAAAAUACGUAACUGAAUUCCCCUCUACAGACUCAGCUAAGCCGCUCUUCUCUUCACUUCAAUUCCUUUCAUCUUUCUCUCAUUGUCAGUACUGCAACAGCCUGCAUUUCUUAAUUUCUAAUAAUUGGCCGUUGAAUAAAAUUCCCCGAAGUGUUUUCAGAAACGAAGAUGAUACGUGAAGGAACGCCCGCGCAUGUAAUAUAUAAAAUAUAGGCACAUUGAUCUCCUACUUUUGUCAAUUCUUGCUAUUUUAUGAAUUUUUUUUACUUCCACGUAGAAUACACCGCAUGUGUAUUCAUGAGCGCAGAGGUCGGAAGAAACAAGAAGUGUAACGAUAUCGUCUUGAACGCAUUCUAUGAAGCGUCCAAAACCAGCACAGUAGGUGGCUUUAAUAAGGUACCAAGGCCGGUUCAAUGAAUCCUACCGUCCAUCCGUUCAUUGACCAUCAUUUUUUUUCUUUUUUUUUUUUCAACUGAUAUAUUUUACGGUAUAAUUCUACUUCUCUCUCCCGUUCGUGUCUCAAUAUAUUUUCUGCUCUGCAUGUGUGUAAAGGAAAUAUUGCACGAUGAUGGCGACGAUGAUCUCACACGGUACGGUAUACUUUAUGCCAUUAAUUAUUAAACGCUGACCGACCGACUAACUUGUAUAAUUUUACUCAUUCCACCGGCAUUGUACCCACAAAUUGCUUACCUCCAACUUUUAAAACACAUACAAUGGAUAAGCAAUGCUUCGCCGGGUCAUGGAUGGGUGAACACGCAGCAAUCGGAUACGACAGCAAUUAUCUAAUAAUUAAUCAUAACGGCAAAGCCGGCCGAAUACCUCUGUUCCUCUAUGAGGAUUUCCUUAAUCCUGUCGAUUCUACGUUCUGCACCAAUUGACUCUCUACGUUGAGUUUACGACGCGACGUUACGUCCCUUUGCCAGAAUGUUUUUAAUUCACGGUCGUCCUCAACCCUUGACACCUUGUUGCCUUACCGGUCCAACGAUCGUACUGGAAAUAAUAAGAAUUCUAUUUGUGUAAUUUGACUAGUUUUAAUACGACUGGAAAAUUUUAUAGCAAAUGCGCUUUUGAAAGCCUAAGUAUGUUAGAUUUCAUAUCGAUACCCAUGAGAACUGGCUAGGCUUGUCCAGCGGUAUGGAUGACAUGCACGUACUUACAUCAUGCGAUGGUAUUCGACCAAUUGAAUAAUAGCUGCCGAUUCUCGAGUCAGCUUAUUAAGUUAAUACCACCUCCUACUUCUACUUCUCCGGUACCCGUCAUGUGUACGUUUUUAAAACGGCUGUCGUUCUUUUCAGUGCUCAUUUUUUUGCUGCUGCUUGCUCAGCACAACGGUAUUAAUAACAUUAACUACGACGACAUAAUAUUCAUAUUUCAGGUGAACACAUACCAAAAAAUAUCAUCGUUCCGACAGUGGAGAAAAUUGAUCACAAGGAAUCCUGUCCUGUUCCUAAGUACUAGUGCCGCAGGAGUGAAUAGCUUGGGCUACGAAUUUCCAUGUCUCCUGCUGCUCAAGUGCUUAUCAAUGGGUCGGGACGCACGGCGCGGUAGAGCUUUCCUCAGAAGUGAAGAUGCCAUCAUUAUCAUAAAUAAUUGUACAUCUGAAAUCAUUGAACAGUGCACGAUGUAUUAUCGAUCAUAUUUCUAAUUAUUAUAAAUGUAUACUACUGAUAAUAAAUAAAAGAUCCAGGUGACCACUUUA